ACGUACACUCCUGCGGGAGGCAGCAGUGGGGAAUUUUGGACAAUGGGCGAAAGCCUGAUCCAGCCAUGCCGCGUGCAGGAUGAAGGCCUUCGGGUUGUAAACUGCUUUUGUACGGAACGAAACGGCCUUUUCUAAUAAAGAGGGCUAAUGACGGUACCGUAAGAAUAAGCACCGGCUAACUACGUGCCAGCAGCCGCGGUAAUACGUAGGGUGCAAGCGUUAAUCGGAAUUACUGGGCGUAAAGCGUGCGCAGGCGGUUAUGUAAGACAGUUGUGAAAUCCCCGGGCUCAACCUGGGAACUGCAUCUGUGACUGCAUAGCUAGAGUACGGUAGAGGGGGAUGGAAUUCCGCGUGUAGCAGUGAAAUGCGUAGAUAUGCGGAGGAACACCGAUGGCGAAGGCAAUCCCCUGGACCUGUACUGACGCUCAUGCACGAAAGCGUGGGGAGCAAACAGGAUUAGAAACCCCAGUAGUCCCAU
rnacentral:rRNA from 1 species